GACGAACGCUGGCGGCGUGCCUAAUACAUGCAAGUAGAACGCUGAAGAGAGGAGCUUACUCUUCUUGGAUGAGUUGCGAACGGGUGAGUAACGCGUAGGUAACCUGCCUUGUAGCGGGGGAUCACUAUUGGAAACGAUAGCUAAUACCGCAUAACAAUGGAUGACACAUGUCAUCUAUUUGAAAGGGGCAAUUGCUCCACUACAAGAUGGACCUGCGUUGUAUUAGCUAGUAGGUGAGGUAAUGGCUCACCUAGGAGACGAUACAUAGCCGACCUGAGAGGGUGAUCGACCACACUGGGACUGAGACAGGGCCCAGACUCCGACGGGAGGCAGCAGUAGGGAAUCUUCGGCAAUGGGGGCAACCCUGACCGAGCAACGCCGCGUGAGUGAAGAAGGUUUUCGGAUCGUAAAGCUCUGUUGUAAGUCAAGAACGGGUGUGAGAGUGGAAAGGUCACACUGUGACGGAAGCGUACCAGAAAGGGACGGCUAACUACGU
rnacentral:rRNA from 1 species